UUGCGCUCCAAAUCUUCUUGUAAGCCUCUCUCAUCCUCAAUCUUCUCUGCCCUUACCUUUAUGGAAUCAACUUCUUCAAUUAGUUUUGCCAUUUCAUGGAAUGAAGUUGUAAAGAUGUCACCAUUAUCACUUGCAUAUUCUUCAAGAACUCGAUCUUCAAUAAUAUCUUCAGUUUGACGUGCUGUAUCGAUGAUCUUCCUUUCCAAACCUUCGAUUGAUUCGAUAUUUUCUCGUUGAAAAUUGUCAAGAAAAUCUUGCAAAUAAACAACUUUUUCGAGGAGGGAAUCGAUUUGCUUUUUCUCACCGGGAAGAACAUAUGAACAAUCAUAUUUCAGGGUGCGCUGUAGAACGUGAGUAAGAGAAAGAAGAUGAGCAUAAGCCAUUUCUGUUCUCUUCUGUCACAGCUGAAAGAUAGAAAAUUGAAGCAAUCAGGAUCUCCUAUGCAAUUAUAUACUGUUUAAGAAUGUUGAUAGCAAAUUCCAUUUUCUUAAUUGAACAAGACUUUGUGAAGAAAAAUUUAUGUUAAAUUGCUAAAAAAAAAAAAAAAAUGUUGAUUGAAUGGAUGCAGACUUCCCAC
rnacentral:lncRNA from 1 species